UGUAUGAAUCGAUAAAUACCACUCGUUUUGUAAAUACCGUACAAAUUAUAAAUACUGCUAAUACCUCUUUUAAUAAAUAAAUAAUCGACAAAUGUAUAGAAAAUAGUUGAGACUUGAGAGCAUAUAUCAUUUAUAUUUAUGUUUUUUUAUUUUAAGUACUUGUAUUCUUAAGGCGUUAUUUAACGGUUAACUACUACUUCUCCUGGAGUAUGAUAAGAAACACAAAAGUACCAACUGCUAACAGCUCAAAAAUAUGUCCGUAGGAAUUUUGUGUUUGUGCAUUGUGCAAUAAUAAUUGCACUUGUCUGUUUGAUGUUGAAUGUUCAACCGAGUUAAAUGUAAUUGGUACAAUGUUUGUUUGUUUUUUUAAUCAAGCCAAUAGUUGUAUCAUGAAUGUAGAAGAAUCAAUGAACUCUGGUAAUGAUAGAAAAUUAGAUUCUAAUAAUUCAAGUAUUGUUAUAAUUAAUUCUGUUGUUGAUACGAUGCCUAAAAUACUGGUAUUUUUAUGAGAAUGUAUUGAACUUCCACAAGAAAAACAAUGAUUGGAAAUACCUGCCAAGUGUCAGUACAUCAGUCUUAGCUCUUCUCCACUUGCCUGCCAUAAGAAACCAUCCGCAAUGUUCAAAUGUUUGUAUAUUAGAUGAAUACAAUGUCAUUGUACAGUAUGCCAGACAAUUUACUGAUUUUCAAGUCAUUAUAGAUCACUUUUUAAAGAUACCGGUUAUUAUCGGAAAUCAAUUUUUGUAGAAUUUGGAAAAUGACAAAGAAACUUACAAGUAAUGUUCUUAAAAUUUGUAUGGCGUUUAAUUUAUAAAUUAAAUAAUUAAUUUAAUCCAAUACAUCAGAGAUAUGUGAUCAAGAGCAGAAAGAAAAAAACCUAUUGAUUAAUUAAUUAAUUAAUUAUUAGAGAAAAUGUUCAGUAGGUCUAUAGAGAUCAUAACAUUUUAGCUUUCUUGAGGAGAACUGGCCAUCCCAAUGAUGGUUAUGACAAAUUGAACCAUAUUCUUGAAUUUUUUAGUUCAAUAAAAUUCUUAAUAGAUAACUAUUGAUUAAAUUGUAGCAUAAAUAUUGCAUUAAAUAGAGCUUCGUGAGGAG